rnacentral:snRNA from 1 species
GGUUGAGUUGAGUUGAGUU